GUUCGCGCGCCAGCGCAGGUAGAGAUAAUAGUGGAUACAAACUGAUAAUUAAGGAAACGGCAAUUUAUUUGAUAAUUUUAUUUAUACCAAUAUACUAGAAAUACUAUUUUGCUUUGAGGACUUAAAUAUAAAUUCCGUACAUGAAGUAAUAGCGAGAAUAAGUUUCCGUGUGUGAGUGCGCAUGCAUGGUUGGGCCAGGGAGAGAGGGGUCAAAAUGGGACCUGGCAACUGUCUGCCUUUAGUGGACGGCGGUACGAGAGAGUAACUCAGGCCCUCCCGGUGCACUCCCACUUGUCUGGCUUGUGGCUAUACAGUUCUUGGUGUUAAUAGCAUUCCUGAUGAUUGUGUGGUGUAAGUAGCGUUGUGUUAGAUACACUCGUGAGUCGCCCACACCUCAGAGGAAGCUGGGUACCGGAGCAGUGUUGUGAUACUGUUCAAGAAAGGCCAAACAUCCACUUAGCGACAUGGCUACGCAGCCCUCGACGCGAUUCAGCGAGAAUUAUGAGCUGAAGGAGGAACUCGGAAAGUGAGUAUUGUGGAGCCGACGAAAGGAGGGUGAGAGGAGAGGAGACGAGACGGUAAGGUAAGGUGGGGGAGAGAUUGAGAGCAGAGGAGAGAAGAGAGGAUAAGUCAAGGUAAGACAAGAAGAGAUGAAAGGGGGAAAAAAAAGGGAAGAGAAGAAGAUGGAGGCUGAUUUGGUAAAGUGAGAGGAGGAAAGAAAGAAGAGGGAAGAAGUAGAUAGUAAGAUAAGAAGAAGAGAUAAGAAGCGGAAGGAAAGGUGAGGAGAAGGAGAAGGAUGGUGGCUGUAUAAAGUGAAAGGAGAAAAGAGAAAAGGAAGAGAGGAAAGAAAAGAAGAAAAAGGAAUAGGAAGUAUGAGGAGAAGGAGGAAGAGGAAGACAAACUAAGGUGAGAGGAGAAAAGGAAGAAAAGAAGAAAUGAAAGAAAAGAAGGAAGGAAGGAAAGAAGAGAAGAGACAUGUUGUGAGAUAAGGAGAGUCAAAGAAGAGGAGGAGGAGGAGGAGGAGGAGGAGAGCUAGCUAAGGUGGAAGUAAAAAAGAAAGGAAUGAGAAAGGAGGAAAGGAAACGAGAGAAUACGAGGUAAGACAAGAAGACAAGAUAAAAGACAAGAGGGAAAAGGAGGAAAGAGGAGGAUGGUUACGUAAGGUGGGAGGAGAGAAAAGAAGGAAAUAAAAGAGAGAGAGAGAGAGAGAGAGAGAGAGAGAGAGAGAGAGAGAGAGAGAGAGAGAGAGAGAGAGAGAGAGAGAGAGAGAGAGAUGAGGUAAGGAGAGCAGAGGAGACGAGAGGAAAGACGAGAGGGAAAAAGGAGAGGUUAGACGUAGAAUGAAAGGAGGAAGGAAUGGAGGGGAGGAAGAGAGGAGAGGAGGAGGAGGAGGAGGAGGAGAAAAGAAAGGAGUUGAAGGAGGUGAAAGAUGAGGAAGAUAGUUGAAGUAAGGAGACAAGAUAAGGAAGGAGGUGAGGGAGAGAGAUGUGAUAAGGGCCAGGAAAUGAGAGAGAGAGAGAGAGAGAGAGAGAGAGAGAGAGAGAGAGAGAGAGAGAGAGAGAGAGAGAGAGAGAGAGAGAAGACGAAUGGGAAGACGUCAGGGAACGAAAGACAAAGAAAAAAGGAGAAAACAACGUCAUUCAUGAGAGAGAGAGAGAGAGAGAGAGAGAGAGAGAGAGAGAGAGAGAGAGAGAGAGAGAGAGAGAGAGAGACGCAAACGACACUGAUGAAAAGAACUCGUAAUGAUGUGAAAGGAGAGAAUAAAAGUAAAGCACGCAGAGAGAGAGAGAGAGAGAGAGAGAGAGAGAGAGAGAGAGAGAGAGAGAGAGAGAGAGAGAGAGUCACUUCGGGAAUCCUGCUGAGGAGUGAAGGAAGUGAAAUGGCAACAAUUAUCCCUAAGGACUCUGGAAUGCCCUUCAUUUAUCGCUGAAGGAUUGUGAGAAGAGGAGGAGGAGGAGGAGGAGGAGGAGGAGGAGGAGGAGGAGGAGUAACAGUGACACAAAUCAACACAAAGGAAGAAGGGACACUAGCAGACCUCAUGACACUAACGAGAUUGUUUUUAAUCACCUACACUAUCUGAUAUGAAGUGAGAGACGUAGGAUAGUGAGAGCGAAGGUUCCUCCCCACCCACCCACAGUUUCUUCCACUCUGCCCGUGUUAUAAAAAAAGAAUAGAAGAAGAUAGGAUAGUAAAGACAAAGGCUCCUCCCCACCCCACCCAUCCAUCCAUCUACAGUUUCCUCAUCACUCUCCAUGCUACAAAAUAAAGAUAAAGAGUAGAGGAAGAGAAUUUAGUAAAGACGAAGGCUCCUCCCCACCUACUCACCUGCCUAUAAUCUCCACACCACUCAUGUUAUAAAAGUGGAGUAAAUGAACAGAUAAAUAGGUGAGGAAAAGGAGGAAGCAUUACGAUCCACCUCUAAUGCAAGAGUUAACCAGUAUCCUCAGUCAUUCAUUCCUUUUUUUCUAGUAAACUAUAGAACUUCUUGCCUGUUUCGGUAUUAAAUUCCCCCUUCCUGUGACAUGAACUCUUUCAAAAGGGAGGGCUCAAGGCACUUAUAUUGCAAUUGUGAAUGAUCCUUCUUUUUUUUUUUUUUUUUUUUUACCAUUCUGGCGCCUCAGUGGGUCUAUUUAAUUUUUCUUUCGCUCUUUUUGCUCCCUAUGGCCAGUGCCCUCUUACAUUAAACAACAACAUUAAUCUUUUCAAGCACCUACAUGAAAUAAAAAGAGAGGGAAUAAAAUAACCUUACAGUGCCCAACCUAUGUAAUGUUUAGAAAUGGCUGUAUGAAAAAAAAAAAUAAAUAAAUAAAUAAAUAAAAAUCUUGAGUAAGCGAUUCAAGCAAGGUGUGCCAAAUAACAUUCAGAGGGUGAAGACAGUAAAAACGAAGUCUACCUCCCCAUGUUAAGAAA